rnacentral:lncRNA from 1 species
UUUACUUCAUAAAAACUUUCCAAAGAUUUAUGUUUUAGUGUUACUCUUGUUAAAAUACAAAAUCAUCCUCAAAAAAAAACCUCUUAAAAUAGCUUAAUUUUUGGACUAAAUAUAAGCGUAACUUGGCCGAAAGUACAGGCCGACAUUGCAUGUUUAACGAAAAAGUGGCUCUUGCGCGUCCGAUCGAGUAGGUAGUAAGUAUCUGAAAGUGCGGAAGUGAUAAAACCUAUGGGAAAUAUUUGUUUUAGACCCCGCAGUAUUUGCAUAUCGUUAUUACAUGAGUAGUUAACUGUGCGCGUACACUUUCAACAUGAUUUUCGCUUAAAAGUCGCCUAGAGGGACAAUGGAAAACGCAAUCGAGUGCGCUCAACCUCGCAGAUUUUCCUCCGGAAGUCUCUAUGUCCAGAUGAUGUCGAGUUUGGCUGCUGAAUUAGACAACAUGCUCUACGAAUUGGGAACAACUCCAGCCUUUCCAUAUGGAAGGCUGUUGGAAGAGACCGAGGAAGAGGACGACGUCGAUGAUGAGUACAGGUGAGUCGAUUUAUUGCUUUAUAAAGAAAUGCUGCAAUAUAGUGCAAAUUAUUAUCGGGAAUCACUCUUGAUCAUUAUGUGGUCUCAUGCUGGAUGCUAAUAUGAGAGACAAAAAAAUGUUCCCAGCUUCCAGUUUUCCAUUUUAAUCUUCGAUGGCCGUGUUUUGUUUGUUGAACAUCCGACAUCAAACUUACUGAAGAGUUUUGGCGUGCAAUAAUCAAUCUUAAACACAUUAAAUUGUGCCAGAAUCAGCAAUUUAUCUUUGUUUUGCGCAGUUUCAGCUCAUAUACAUCAGAAUUUAGCACCAUAAAUCAUCAUGUAUGGGCAAGUGAUACAAAUGAUUUCGCUUGAUUCCGCCCCAUUUUCCAUGGCGCGGAGUAAAUAACUGAUUUUCCUGACUGAAACUAUGGGG